ACAUUAGCAUUGGGUGGAUUCUAUUAGAUAGUUGUCUAGAGCCCUAGAGGUCAGAGAACAUAUCACUUGUAAUACCCCUCGUCCUUUUCCAUCACCGGUUUAGGGUUAGGGAUGCUACAGCAAUUAACAAGUCAAGAAUAUACAACUUCAAGUCAAAAUUCAAUUUAAACAAUCAUUAAUAUAUAAACAUUCGAUAAUCAUGCUAAUCAUACAAAAACAAGACUUAAAUCAAACCUAUGAAACUCUAG
rnacentral:lncRNA from 1 species